CCUGACUCCCUUAUCCUAACCCAUAUUAAGUAGAAUGUACACAGGGGGCGAGGCAGAGUAUGGCAGAGCUCCAACUGAAACUGAGUUCUUCCAGGAAGAGAUUGCAAUAACCCCUGAUUUAAGUCUGGCUGCCAUACACGUCAUUUUGUUGCAGUGAGACCUCCAGUCACUUGGAAGUUUCAUGAGGUGUCAGUCACAGUCUCAUCAAACUGCUGUCUGCGUCAUCAACACAACAUGAGUGAAGGGAAGAGAAAAUCAACCGCCAUAAAAAGAGACACUUUGCCUCAUCAUGGGCUUGGUCCUGGCUGCGUUUGGCACCAUCUGUGUGCUCAUCACCAUGUUUGCACCAUGGAGGAAUAAGCGUAUUGCUUCAGCUUGCUAUCCAGAUGUAAACUAUGACGGACUUUGGUUUAUUUGUUUGUGGAAUUACAUAGGUUUAGAGUGUCUCCCUGGUGUACACUGGUCACAAGCAUCUGUCCAAGCUUCGAGGGUCCUCAUGUGUGUGUCCCUGACCUGCGCGCUCUCUGCAUGGGUUCCUCUCAUUCUGGGUCUGAGACGCUUCCGUCAGCGCAGACAGAGGCAUGUCCCACUCAUAACAGCAGGCUCCAUGCUAGUCACAGCAGCGAUUACCACUCUCAUUCCUGUUACACUCAUCGCAGUCCAUCUGAAUCAAGUGUUUGACCAGCAGUUCCUGCACAUUAAAUAUAUUGCCAGUGUAGGGCUGGGUCUGUGUACAGGUUGGGUUGGUUCUGGUUUGCUCGUGGUGGCUGGGGUGAUCCUGCUUUGUUCCAACAUGUCUUGUGUAAGGAGAGAAGGAAAGAGAAGCAAUGAGGAGGCCUCUCCAUGCAUUAUCUAUAAUUCUUUAGAGGAAACAGGCAGUGCACAGUUGGCAGAGGUUUGGAUUGUAUGAAUUCUUGUCAACAUAUCUGUACUGUUAGGGAGUAUAUCCACAUAUCACAAACAGUUUCCCUCUGAAAACUCUGUGUAAUGAUUGUAUACCGGUAUGAAAUAAAAACAUAAUCAAUACA